rnacentral:rRNA from 1 species
GUGCCAGCCGCCGCGGUAAUACCGGCAGCUCGAGUGAUGUCCAAUAUUAUUGGGCCUAAAGCGUCCGUAGCUGGCCGAACAAGUCCGUCGGGAAAUCCAUCAGCCCAACUGAUGGGCGUCCGGUGGAAACUGCACGGCUUGGGACCGGAAGGCUCGAGAGGUACGUCCGGGGUAGGAGUGAAAUCCCGUAAUCCCGAACGGACCACCGAUGGCGAAAGCAUCUCGAGAAAACGGAUCCGACAGUGAGGGACGAAAGCUAGGGUCUCGAACCGGAUUAGAAACCCCUGUAGUCC